ensembl:snoRNA SNORD58 Small nucleolar RNA SNORD58
UCACUGUGAUGACCUCUUAGGACACCUUUAGAUUCUCCAUGAAAACACCCGAAGAGUUCUGAGAGGC